GACGAACGCUGGCGGCGUGCUUAACACAUGCAAGUCGAACGGUAAGGCCCUGCUUUUGUUGUGUGCUUGAGUUGCGAACGGGUGAGUAACACGUGAGUAACCUGCCCUUUACUUUGGGUUAACUUCAGGAAACUUGGGCAAAUACCCGAUAGGAGCUCCUUCUGCUUGGUUUUGGUUGGAAAGUUUCGGCGGUUGGGGAUGGACUCGCGGUUUAUCAGCUUGUUGGUGGGGUAGUGGCUUACCAAGGCUUUGACGGGUAGCCGGCCUGAGAGGGUGACAGGGCACAGAGGGACAGAGAAAGGGGCAAGAGGGAAACGGGAGGAAGGGGUGGAGAAUAGUGCAAAAAAGGCGGAAGGAGGAAGCAGGAACGCCGCGUGCGAGAUGACGGCCGUAGGGUUAUAAACCGUGUGCGCCUGUAAAGAAGAGUGAGUGACGGUAAUGUGUAAAGAAGCAACGGCUAACUACGUG
rnacentral:rRNA from 1 species